CCUACGGGUGGCUGCAGUGGGGAAUAUUGCGCAAUGGGCGAAAGCCUGACGCAGCAACGCCGCGUGAGUGAAGAAGGCCCUUGGGUUGUAAAGCUCUUUCGGCUGGGAAGAAGCCUUGAUGUGUGAAUAGCGCGUCAGGGUGAUGGUACCAGAAUAAGAAGCACCGGCUAACUUCGUGCCAGCAGCCGCGGUAAUACGAAGGGUGCAAGCGUUGUUCGGAUUUAUUGGGCGUAAAGGGUUCGUAGGCGGGACAGUCAGUUAAGUGUGAAAACCCU
rnacentral:rRNA from 1 species